GACGAACGCUGGCGGCGUGCCUAAUACAUGCAAGUAGAACGCAGUUGCGAACGGGUGAGUAACGCGUAGGUAACUGCCUCGUAGCGGGGGAUAACUAUUGGAAACGAUAGCUAAUACCGCAUCCUGUGAGAUGGACCUGCGUUGUAUUAGUUAGUUGGUGAGGUAAAGGCUCACCAAGGCGACGAUCCAUAGCCGACCUGAGAGGGUGAUCGGCCACACUGGGACUGAGACAAGGCCCAGACCCCUACGGGAGGGAGCCGUAGGGAAUAUUAGGAAAUGGACGGAAGGCUGACCGAGCACAGCCGCGGGAGUGAAGAAGGUUUUCGGAUCUUAAAGCUCUGUUGUUAGAGAAGCGGUAACUAAACAGAAAGGGACGGCUAACUACGUGCCAGCAGCCGCGGUAAUUC
rnacentral:rRNA from 1 species